CUGUGGCUUGCCCAGCUGCAGCAGCAGCCCUGCUCUGCUGGCUGCCCUCUGCCAGGGUAGAGGAGUUGGCCAAGCCAUGGUGGCUGCCCUGACAGAAAGCAUGGUCACCCCACUAUCCCCAUGGCUGCCCCAGCCAGCCCAUUGUUAUUAAAAUCAUUUCUGUGGAUAUGCUUCCAUGUAACUUGGUCCUUUAGCCACCAUCAGUUUGAAGUGCUGUCCAGUGGUGACUGUUUACCCUGUCUGUUGAUAUCACUGCCCAUGGGCACUCACAGCCCAUGGAAAUGGGUAGAGAAAAGUCUUGAUGGGGCAACAUGGCAGCUGGGAGGGCAGAAGACAUCGUUGGAGUCAGAAACAGAAACAGCUUUUUCUGAAAGCUUUAAAAGAAGCUCUGUCAACUGUUAUUUCAAGUCAUCAGGCACAUUUCAUCAGGAACAGCAAGUACGAAGUCCAGGCUUCAGCCUCGCCGUGCACAGGGGAAUUGAAUGCAGACACUCAAGUUGGAAUAAAUGCUAUGCCAAGCACUUCUCCAGUACUCAGCAGUAGGAAAAUGUUGCUCACAUCAUUAUGAAGUGUGUGGACACUUUCUAAAGGGUUUGGUUGAGAAAGAAACCAGAAGACACCAAACACAUGUUUAUAUAAAGCCAUUCUCUGAGUUAAGAGAUGUCAGAUGUAAAUUGUCGAUGUUUAUACUCCUAAACAUGAGAGGAAAUAGCCUUUGGUUUAAAUAUUCAUCAGGCCAAGUUGAAUAGCCUGCCCUGAGGGAUUCUUGAAGUUCCAAAGGAGGAGCAGUUCUCCAGCAGAGAGGUUUUUGGGGGGACAUCAGUUGGGCAUGGCACAAUGCUGACCUGGCUGCUCUGGAGGGCUUGGUGUUGCUGUCAUUGUGCCACAGCUGCUGUGGGCACUGCUAAAGCACAGAAGGUGUGUGCAUUGGUGCCUUCUCCUCCUGCACAGUCCUUCCUGCCCAGAGGCAUGUGUGGGCAGCAGGCAGCUGCUGGCAGCUCUUCUGGGUGCCCAAGGACAAUGGCCAGGCAGGCUGCUGCCCUGCCAGCAGCACAUGGCUGAGCCUCUGUCACACUGCCCUGGGCUGUGGGCUCACCCUGGAGCAGGGAAUGCUGGCCAAACCAG
rnacentral:lncRNA from 13 species